rnacentral:rRNA from 1 species
AACGAACGCUGGCGGCAUGCCUACACAUGCAAGUCGAACGAGAUCUUCGGGUCUAGUGGCGCACGGGUGCGUAACGCGUGGGAAUCUGCCCUUUGGUUCGGAAUAACAGUUGGAAACGACCGCUAAUACCGGAUGAUGACGAAAGUCCAAAGAUUUAUCGCCAGAGGAUGAGCCCGCGUAGGAUUAGCUAGUUGGUGUGGUAAAGGCGCACCAAGGCGACGAUCCUUAGCUGGUCUGAGAGGAUGAUCAGCCACACUGGGACUGAGACACGGCCCAGACUCCUACGGGAGGCAGCAGUGGGGAAUAUUGGACAAUGGGCGAAAGCCUGAUCCAGCAAUGCCGCGUGAGUGAUGAAGGCCUUAGGGUUGUAAAGCUCUUUUACCCGGGAUGAUAAUGACAGUACCGGGAGAAUAAGCUCCGGCUAACUCCGUGCCAGCCGCCGCGGUAA